UGGGGAAUAUUGCACAAUGGGGGAAACCCUGAUGCAGCGACGCCGCGUGAGUGAAGAAGUAUUUCGGUAUGUAAAGCUCUAUCAGCAGGGAAGAAAAUGACGGUACCUGACUAAGAAGCCCCGGCUAACUACGUGCCAGCAGCCGCGGUAAUACGUAGGGGGCAAGCGUUAUCCGGAUUUACUGGGUGUAAAGGGAGCGUAGACGGCAGAGCAAGUCUGAAGUGAAAGCCCGCGGCUCAACUGCGGGACUGCUUUGGAAACUGCCCGGCUAGAGUGCUGGAGAGGUAAGCGGAAUUCCUAGUGUAGCGGUGAAAUGCGUAGAUAUUAGGAGGAACACCAGUGGCGAAGGCGGCUUACUGGACAGUAACUGACGUUGAGGCUCGAAAGCGUGGGGAGCAAACA
rnacentral:rRNA from 1 species